rnacentral:sRNA from 1 species
GUUUCAUGUGAUUCUUUUUUUC